CUGUGAAUCCAGGGGCCUGAUGAAGGUCAUGACAGAACACAAACACCUGGUGGAGGUGGAUCAUCUACUUGUGCGCUCCUGGAUGUGUCUGCUACAGUUGGAAAACUUGAUGAGCUUUAUAUCAGCCAUCCAUGUGGGUGUCUUGGACACUCUUCAGCAACUCCAGUUCAGUCUCAAGUCUGUAACGUCUUACUACACCUAUGGGCAACCAGUGAAAGCGAUUUUGUCAUAUCUUAUUGAAAUUACUGGACAACACUUCAGGUAUGAUAAAUAUGUAUACAUGAUAUUUUUACUAUGUUAUAUCUAGAGAAAAUAUCCAACAAUUAAAAGUGACAUUCCUUUAAAAUAUUGUAUUAUAAAUAAUUUGAGCUUCAUGCAGUUACAGAACAUCCUGUAGUGUUCCUUGACCCUCAAGUUAUUUGUUGUUGUUGUUAUCAGUGAUAACAGAUAUGGAGAAUGUUGCUUGAAAACAGCUGUGAGUGUUCUGGGGACAAUCUGUAAAGAUACUGCUGAUUCAGACCGCUGUGAGCUUCCACUGGACUGCCUGCAUCUGGUCAGUCUGAUUGCAGAAACUGCCGGAAGCUCUCAUCCACAGGUACGCCAUAUGUGAAGGGAAAGUAUUUUGUAUUUUGUAUUGGUCACAUACACGUGUUUAGCAGAUGUUAUUGCGGGUGUAGCUAAAUGCUUGUGCUUAU
rnacentral:lncRNA from 1 species